CUGAUUCGCUUGGUGCAGGUCGGGACCGGGGCCGAAUCCUUGCGGAUUGGAACUGGAUCCUGCCUUGCAUCAACUGAAUCGGCGGCGGAGAGCGACGAUUUGAUGAUCCUGAUUUAGAGGGAAGAUAAUGGAGCCUGUGGAGUAGAAAUUAUGUUCAACGCAUGGAAUCUCUUAUAAUCAUAACAAUUAUGCAUUUUACUAUGUAUUUUUUUUGAUGUAUCUGUGACCCGCAUGAUUAUUGUAAAUAUUCAUUUUAGAUGUAAAUUAUACUGUCUGUAUAAACAAAGUUAGACUUUCAUUAUUUCCACAUUUUGUUAUUUUU